rnacentral:lncRNA from 1 species
GUUUGUCACCCCAGCCUACACCUGAAUACGACCAUGUAUUAAUCUUCAUUUUACUAGCGAUGAAAGUUAUCCUGAUUGUGCUUAAUGCUUCUAUGAACUGCAAGGCCUUUGCAUCAAAAAAAUCUAUCUUUCUUCUUGUGAAGUAUCAUUGUUUCUUUAUGACGAUCACAGGUGUUUUAUUCGUCAACAAUCAAAAAAACAGAUUUGAUGUGUGGAAUGCUCUACUUGCAACCAAAUGAUGGACGAUGGUGCUGCACUGUCAAUCAUGUCAGACAGACGUCAGCCGUAUAUCAAGCUUCUGCAUCAGGUCCUCUUCCCGCUUCGUUUUUCGGGGCUGACGAUUACUUCCUUGCCAGGGGUGUGAAAGGGUUCACCAUCACUUCGAGUAUUUUAUUCCAGGCUCUCAAACCCUUCACUUGACUUCAUUGUAGUUAAGCACAAAAGGCUUUCUUUCUGUAGCAGCUCCCUACAUUAUGUUCCAAAAGUCGUAAGUCCAACAGAACAAUGUUUCCAGUGAUGCCAAAGCGACCCAAGAAUAAUACGGUACAUACUCACCAUGAUAAAUCGCCCUAU